GGAAGUAAAAGUGGUAACAAGGUUUCCGUAGGUAGAGUUUUGCCUACUACAGCAGCCGCCCUACCCGGCGCUGCUAGUCUCCUGCGGGAGGCGACACUGCUCAAUGUGCGGAGAGCCCCUCCUUUGGAGGGCAAUCCGCAGUUACCCUAGGGUAAUUCAGAGACUCAACGAGCGUGGGUUCAGCGCCAGCUGAAUUUGAGAUAGAGCCCGUCCUCGCUGGCAACAGCGGGGGUUCAACGGAACCUGCGGAAGGAUCAUUA
rnacentral:rRNA from 1 species